GCACAACAUAAAUAUAACAACCAUCUAUCAUCAGAAUCAAUUUGAAAUAGAAUAAGAAUACAUCAUAAAUAUGUUUGCUAAACACGACCUUAUUACAAAAGCUUCGAAAUGAAAUUAUGAGCGAAACGCUAGGGACAACAUCCACUAGAUUUUUCUAAAACUAAGGCUAGACUAAAACUGUAUCAUCCUCGAAAUCAAGAUGACUUACCAAAUGGUCUGGAAAAAUGCUGAUGUACAAACCGUUGCAAGAAUUGUCAAUCUGUCCCUUAACCUGCAUCGUGACUUGAAGUAAUUUCAGCACUAUUAGGUAUUCUUGAUGACUGUGGUACUUGUUCUUGGCCAUUGUUGGUGUUGAGAAGCUGAAAUAUAUAAACAAG
rnacentral:misc_RNA from 1 species